rnacentral:lncRNA from 1 species
UUUGAUCCUAGGAGAAGGUUCGUCAGACUAGGUCUCUAUCUUAGGAGAAAAAUUCAUCGGACUAAGAUUUUGAUCCUAGGAGAAGGUUCAUCAGACUAGGUCAUUUUUUUUGGUAUCUUAGGAGAAAGAUUCAUCAGACUAAGAUUUUUAUCCUAGGAGAAGGUUCAUCAGACUAGGUCAUUUUUUUGUUUUUUGGUAUCUUAGGAGAAAAAUUCGUCAGACUAAGAUUUUGAUCCUAGGAGAAGGUUCAUCAGACUAGGUCAUUUUUGUUUUUUGGUAUCUUAGGAGAAAGAUUCAUCAGACUAAGAUUUUGAUUUUUUUUUUUUUUCUUCAAAAACAACUUAGGAGGAAAUGCAUCUCCUAUGGGUAAAACUUAACUUUGAGGAAGUGCGUCUCCUGUGGGUACAAUAAACUUAGGAAGUGCGUCUCCUAUGGGUACAAUAAACUUAGGAAGUGUGUCUCCUAUUGGGGAUAACUGUUCUUAGGAAGUGCGUCUCCUACUGGGUGAAACUUUUUAGGAAGUGCGUCUCCUAUUGGUACGAUGGAUCUAGGAAGUGCGUCUCCUAUUGGUAAAACUUAACUUAGGAAGUGCGUCUCCUAUCGGUGAAAUCAACUUAGGAAGUGCGUCUCCUACUGGUGAAACUUUUUAGGAAGUGCGUCUCCUACUGGUACAAUGGAUUUAGGAAGUGCGUCUCCUAUGGGUAAAAAUAAACUUUAGGAGGAAAUACAUCUCCUAUAGGUAAAGACGUGGAAUGUAUGCCUCUGUUAUCUGGGCGGGCUCCCAAUUUCAAUACUUGAAAUAAA